GUGAAACAAACAAUUCUAACUAUCUUCACUAUCUUUGCUCCUCACAAACUAAGGUCACACUUAGCCUCCUGAAUUCCAGAGAGAGUAAACCCAGCCUAUCUAAGCUCCCCUUAUAACUAAAGCCCUCCAUUCCAGGAAACAUCUUCUGCACAGUUUCUAAUGCAACCACAACUUUCCUGUAUCUGGCGACCAGAACUGUGCACAAUAUUCCAUGUAUGGCCUGACCAAUGCUUUGUUAACAUGAUGUCCUUACAUGCCUUGGCCUAUGAUGGCAAAUUUACCAAAUGCCUUCUUGACUAAAGUGUCCAUUUUCAGGUGCUAUGAACUGUGUAUCAAUAAGCUUGAGGUCCCUGCAACGUACUGUACAUGUCUUGUUUAUAUUUGAUGUCCCAAACUGCGGAUGCAAUCUCCCAGUUGCCUGGAUUCCCCUCUCAUCUGUUUAUUCUUGCUUUAAUCCAAUGCUUAGUUCUGAGUUCAGACUCAAGAGAAAGUCUACGAUUUCUUUAAUUUUUCAGCAGUUCACCCUUGGAUCACAUUCACGUCGCUUUCUUUUGCAGCUGAACUCUGUAAUCUGCUCUUUGCAAGUAUGAGGACUGAGUCGUGGGAUUGCCUUGGCUGUGGAACUCCCUCUGUCACAUCAAUGUACUUUGCAGAUGCAGCCUGACCUGCUGGUGUUUCCUGCUUUUUUUUUUUUUUUAUUCAUAAUCUACAUUUGGCAGAUACGACAGGGAGGGAAACAUGUGGUCGAGCAUCGCUUCCAUUUGGACGUCACAUGGUCAGUAAGCAUUGGUUUAAUUAUUUGAUGUAUGACUUAGUGCCUCUUCUCAGACACACUAACCUGGCAGUGGGGUGGUGGGGAGGAGGAUAGAGAAUGGAAGUUUGCACUCAAAUUGCUAAAAACAUUGUAUCUUCAAACCAUUUUGUUAGUAAAGUAUCACAGAGUAUCAUCCGCUCUUUCUGGGGCUAAAAGAAAAUAAUGUCACAGGUGAAGUGAUUGCUUCUACAUCUUGUCCACAGUACACAGAGUUACAUUGUCGUAAAACACGGCACAUUCCUGUUCCAAUAAAUGUAGUCAUGAUGGAAUUGAAAGCAGUUUCUCCAAGAGAUUAACUGUUACAACUAGGUAGAUAGACAGAACAUCAAGCCUCUCUGUGUCAAUAAUCAGAUGGUGUGAUAUAGUACACAACAUGCACACCAGAGAUGUUAGACAGUGUUCAACACAAGAAUAGACACAUACCAGUUGCAUGUACAAUAUACAAAAAAAAGAACACAUGUUGCAGUUGAGUUAGACAGGUUGCAAUAUCAGAAAACACACCUGAUGUGUUAGAUAGUGUACAUGAAGGCAUGGACACACCUGGUAUAUGAGACAUAUAUGAUAAUGUGAGAUAUGAGAAAACACACACCAGCUGUAUUAGAAGAUGUGACAUUAGAUUGCACAGAAAUGCAGUAUAUGGACAAUUUUGUGUAGACAGACACACAUACCUGUAGAGUUACAGGCUGCAGUUUCAGGAAACACAACGGGCGUGUUAGACAGUGUGUCACAGGAAGGCACAAACAGCAAGUGUGUUAGAGAGUGUGCGAGAGGAGGACAAACACAUCAGGUGAGUUAAUGCGAUGCAAGCACAUACUCCGGGUGUGUUAGGCAGUGGGACAUGGGAAUGUUAUUAAAAAAAACUGCCAGCGAAGGUUAUAGUAAAUAAAGUCAUGGUUUACACAGAAACAUUGAAUGUUUGUAACUUCACAAACCCAGUUGUAAACUGCUGGCAUCAUUUUAAAUAAAAUAUUAAUUUUC